GUCAACAAAUGCGAGCGAAAUUUUUAACGGAAAAUUUUUAAUAUAUAUAGGAAUAUUACGUUCUAAAAACAUCUGGGACAAUUUGCGCGCAGAUUUGAAAGUCUAUUCCUCUCGCGUUUUUCCGCCCAGCUGUCGGUUUGGGAGACAAUGAUGAUUUUGACGCAACAACCGCGACAAACUAUCUUCCUGAGCAUGUUCGUUUUUGUCAUCAGUGGAACAUGGGGAUAUCAAUCUGGAAUUGAAAUGAUUAAUGUGACAUUCUGUGGAAAGUACGAUAAGCCUCCAAAGUUGAAAGUUUCUCCAUGGCCUUUCAUUCCAGCUGGAAAUCAUUUUAAAGUUAAUAUGACAUUUA